ACGCUUUCCGCAGCGAACAGUUGAGUUACGUAGUCGCUGCGGGAUCGAUCCAUUGCUUCCGUGCUGCCGGGCUCGUUGGUGAAAAUCUUUGGCUUUUAAAAUUCAAUUGUUUCCUGCAACACAGAAUGGAUACUGCAAGAAAUUUAAAACUUUCUUUACGUAGCAAUGCAUUAAAAACAUUACAUUGAAGAAAUCAGUGCAAGAAACAGUUAAGUGAUCGAUGCUGGAAGCGCCAGUGAAUUGUUCUGUGAUCAGUUAUUCUCUUCAAAUCUAUUUCAAACUCAAAUUAGUACGUCUUCCAAAGUGAGCAACGUUUGGUGUUCAUCUCUGUUCAAUUGUAAACUUAUCAAGAGUGGAGGGAAGAUCAAACUAUUCAGCGGUAGCAAUAAGAAGUAGACUGUUCGGAAAAGGGCCUACCUCGAGGACGGCCAGCUAUCAGCCACUGCAUCUCUAAGUCUUCCGUUAAUCAGUAUGGCUGAGCCCGGUGGCUGCUAUGGCCGUGUCUCCGGCGCCGCCGCCGGGCCGCGCCGGCGCGCAGAGCCCGCCGCAUCCGCAGCCGCAGCCUCCGCCCCAGCGCCGGUGGCCGG